GGGGCUAUGGCUCAAUGGUAGAGCUUUCGACUCCAGUCAAAUCUACGGAUUCGUGCAAUCGAAGGGUUGCAGGUUCGAUUCCUGUUGGCCUCA
rfam:Ogataea parapolymorpha DL-1 chromosome V, whole genome shotgun sequence.